rnacentral:rRNA from 1 species
AUGGACGGUUUCUGUCUGCGUCGGGGCUGUAGGUUUUGGCGGCCGCGGUGACAAACGACUAGAAUCUAUCAAUGGCUCCGCGUGCCUUCUCUCUCCUCCAAAACAUGCGAUUUGUCUGGUUAAUUCCAGUAACGAACGAGACUUUAGCUUAUUAAAUAGGUGCGUGGUUCUCUGCACCUUGCACCCUUCUUAGAGGGACAAGCGGCUCCUAGCUGCACGAAACAGAGCAAUAACAGGUCUGUGA